rnacentral:tRNA from 1 species
GGUCCGUUGGUGAAGUGGUUUAACACACCAGCCUUUCACGCUGGCAUGCAGGGGUUCGAAUCCCCUACGGGUCACCA